rnacentral:tRNA from 1 species
CAGAAAAUAGUAUAAAUAAAAUAUUAGUUUUGGGAAUUAAAGAUAAUAAUUUUUUUUUUCUGA